CUCCUACGACUACUCCCACUACUACUCCUACGACUACUCCUACGACUACUCCUACAACUACUCCUACAACUACUCCUACGACUACUCCUACAACUACAACAACCACCACCACGACAACCACAGUGGCACCGCCCACAGGGCCUGGUAGCCUGGAUAUCACCCUGCCCGGCGGUAUUACUAUAUCCCUUCAAUGGUCGCUAGGUGGCACAAGCACUUGCACUGCUCCACUGGUAUCAGCCAAUGUGAAUGUUCAACUGAAUGGUUUGUCGAUAUUACCCCUUAGCGCCUGUAUAUCGCUUUGAUAAAAAUGUGGGCUCUGUUGACACCGCGGGACCAACUCACGGCGUUUGAAAAAACGACUAAGACAUCAUCUCAUCUCAUCUUGAAUUCUCAAUUUAACCUACUAACGUCAAAGUGUUUCCUUUUGUUCAAUUAAAAAUAAUAAAGCAAUAGACUAUAUCCUAAAAUAUGAA